GCCCCUGCCCAGGCCACAAGCGUUCCACGAGCGAAGGCGCCUGGCCACAGCCGCCCUCUGGCAUCUCCAUGAUGGGGUGCCUCCACAACUUCCUGACAGAUGGGGUCCUUGUGGAGGGUGCGUUCACUGAAGACUUCCAGGGCCUGUGGGCAGAGGUGGAGACCAUCUCCAAGGAACUGGAGCUCUUGGACAGAGAGCUGUGCCAGCUGCUGCUGAGGGGCCUGGAGGGGGUGCUGCGGGACCAGCUGGCCCUGCGAGCCUUGGAGGAGGCGGUGAGUGGGGGAGGGUGCCCGGGGCACACAAGGCCGGCCCAGCCAGCCAGGCUCAUCUGCCCUUCCCGUGCCCACAGCUGGAGCAGGGCCAGAGCCUUGGGCCGGUGGAGCCCCUGGACGGUCCAGCAGGUGCUGUCCUGGAGUGCCUGGUGUUCCCCUCCAGAAUGCUGGUGCCGGAACUCGCCAUCCCUGUUGUCUACCUGCUGGGGGCACUGACCAUGCUGAGUGAAACGCAGCACAAGCUGCUGGCGGAGGCGCUGGAGUCGCGGUCCCUGUUGGGGCCGCUCGAGCUGGUGGGCAGCCUCUUGGAGCAGAGUGCCCCGUGGCAGGAGCACAGCACCAUGUCCCUGCCCCCCGGGCUCCUGGGGAGCAGCUGGGGCGAAGGGGCACCGGCCUGGGUCUUGCUGGACGAGUGUGGCCUGGAGCUGGGGGAGGACACUCCCCACGUGUGCUGGGAGCCGCAGGCCCAGGGCCGCAUGUGUGCACUCUACGCCUCCCUGGCACUGCUAUCAGGACUGAGCCAGGAGCCCCACUAGCCUGUGCCCGGGCAUGGCCUGGCAGCUCUCCAGCAGGGCAGAGUGUUUGCCCACCAGCUGCUAGCCCGAGGAAGGCCAGGAGCCCAGUAGCCAUGUGGCCUGUCUACCAUGGGGCCCAGGAGU
rnacentral:sRNA from 1 species